rnacentral:rRNA from 1 species
GACGGAGGGGGCUAGCGUUGUUCGGAAUUACUGGGCGUAAAGGGCGCGUAGGCGGCAAAUCAAGUUAGGCGUGAAAUCCCUGGGCUUAACCCAGGAACUGCGUUUAAUACUGAUUAGCUAGAGAUUGGUAGAGGAAGGUGGAAUUCCUAGUGUAGAGGUGAAAUUCGUAGAUAUUCGGAAGAACACCAGUGGCGAAGGCGACUCACUGGACAUGUAUUGACGCUGAGGUGCGAAAGCGUGGGGAGCAAACAGG